GACGACUGAAUUAAUCUCAAGGUAAACACCUUUAUGCUGCAUCGGUUAUAUGCGUUGUCUCAUUAUAUUGAUGAUUAUAGUUACAAUUAAGCAUAACAUCUAUUAGAACUUUGAAAUAUCAAGACAAAACGUUCUAUUUGUUGAUAAAAAACUACGAACACAUAUACGUAUGGUCCUACACUUUGAUAUGUUGCAUUGAAAGAUGUCAUGUGUAUGACGUCUUUUCAGUAAAUCCGUUUGAUGUAUCCUGUUUAGUAUAUUAUUAUGGGAAGACAUUAUAUAUAUAUAUUAGUUGAUGUUAACAUUUAACUAGCUAUCAGUAACUGUGAGUUUUCUUAUAUCUAUACGUUGUGUCGUUUUGUGGGUAAUUGUUUGUGCUCGGUUAUACAUGUAUCUGAUUGUCCAAGCUCUAUUGAACAACUUUAUAUCUUUUUUCUUAUAAAAUGAUUUUACAACCCUGUCAUAUACAAGGGAAAGUGUGUUUAACCCCGCAGUGAACUGGCUGAUAAUCACUUCCAAAAUCAAUCGAAUAAUCAAUCGAUCAAUAUAUCAAUGAAUCAAAACAUGUGUAACUGUGCAGUUUGUUUUUGUCAAUUUACAGGUUAUAAUUUUCUUCAGUCACCUGCUUGAUGUAGUGGAUAUACGAACUACAAUGGCUUGAGUUAUGUAAUGGUUAAACAUGCCACAACCGCCUGCUAUAUUAAGUGAACAUACCUACUACAAUAACUCGCUUUAUGUUGUAGACUGCCCUACUACUAUCCGCUGCUUUAUGAAGUGGACAUACAAACUACAACCGCUAGCUUUUUUAGUGGAUAUACCUACUACAACUGCCACCUUUAGUUAGUUCACAUACAUACCACAACCGCCUGCUUUUUGUUGUGGAUAUAAAUACUACAACUGACUGCUUUAUGAAGUGGACAUACCUUCUACAACCUCCUGUUUAAUGUAGUUGACAUACCUGCUACAACCUCCUGAUAUCUUUAUAGUGGACAUAUGUACUAUGGCUACAAUCACCUGCUUUAUAAAGUGGACAUAUCUACUGUAAUCGCUUGCUUUAUGUAGUGGACAUACAUAUUACAUCCUCCUACUAUAAGUAGCGGAUAUAUCUAAUACAAUUAUCUGCUUUAUGUAGUAGAGAUACAGACUACAACCGCCUGCUUUGUUUAGUGAACAUAAAUACAAUGUACCACAGUUACGGGCUACAUAUAGUGGAAUAUAUACCUUUUUAUAUAGUAGAGUAAUAUAUACUAUUAGUACCUGCUUAAUGGAGUGGAAAAUAUAGAACAAUCACUAUCCAUAAAUUUACCAACCAGCAACUU
rnacentral:lncRNA from 1 species